CUAUGUUUCGCAAAGCAGAGUUUGGUUUUUUCUUUGAAGGAGGGGCAACUAGUUGAGAUUGCUGGAUCUACAAGAAAACCCAAACCGGAAAAUUCUCUCUCCUCUGUUGUGGUUGUUUACUUCUACUGUUAGUCUUCUCUCCCUGUCUCUCUGGUUUUUUUUCUUCAUCAGCUCAGAGAUUGAAAGGAGGAAAACGGAAGGUUAAGGUGACGAAACCCUAAAAAAGGAGGUGAGGGGGAAGAAAAGUGGAAGACUGUUCGAGUUUGUAUUGCCAUGGCGACGAUGGUGAGUUCUGCAAGUGGGCUCUUGGCGAUGUUGAACGAGCCUCACCCUACGUUGAAGCUCCACGCUCUUUCCAAUCUCAACACAUUUGUUGAUUACUUCUGGCCCGAGAUUUCCACUAGUGUCCCCAUCAUUGAAAGUCUGUAUGAGGAUGAAGGAUUUACACAAAGACCACUGGCUGCAUUGCUUGUUUCUAAGGUACAUCAUGAGCUUCUGAUUUU